rnacentral:rRNA from 1 species
UAGUGACCUGCGGAGGAUCCCUAAAUAGAUUUAUGCGGUCGUGCUGGUUCUCACAAGUGCACACCGUUAUCUCCUUAUUCACCCCAUGUGUACCUCUGCGUCGCUGGCCUUCCAGCUUCGCCUUAUUUUACACAAACUCUUGUCAUUGAAUGUCGUGUUGGAACAAUAAUAAAAUACAACUAUCAACAACGGAUCUCUUGGCAUCCCACUCGAUGAAGAACGCAGCGAAUUGCGAUAAGUAAUGUGAAUUGCAGAAUUCAGUGAAUCAUCGAAUCUUUGAACGCACCUUGCACCUUCCAGUAUUCUGGAGGGUAUGCCCGGUUGAGUAUUAUGAUCACCUCAAACCUAUGGUUUUCUUAUUGCAAAGGUCAAGCGUUCUGACGAAAGCACCUACCUGGGUGUCUGUAGUUGAAGCUCGACUUGGAGAACUGUGGGUCUUGGAAUUGAGCAAGUGUUGGUUCCCUCUGGAUCAACUUGCUUGAAAUGCAUUAGCUGGCGACCCGCUUUCAAUGGUUACCACUCGGCGUAGUAAGUCUUAUUCGUCGAGGACAUCUUGCACCUUCACGGGUGCGGGUGGCCAUUGUGCUGUGUCUUGACGGCCGCUCCUAAUCGUCCCUGGACAAUACAGAACUCUUUGAUCUCAACUCGGGUAGGACUACCCGCUGAACUUAA